UCGUAAUUCACAUUAUUUGAAGUGUCAUCCUUUGGGGCAAAGUUACUUUAAAUUCCAUAUUUUUUUUUUUUUUUCCAGAUCACACAUUUCAUCCUGCACGUAUCCAGUAAUUCUGGCUUAUUGCACUAUUUAAUAUUACAUUUGGUGCCGUUCCAAAAAUUAAAAAAAAAAAUUAAGGUUGAGAACCUGGUUACUUCAGAUAAUUAAAGAAGCACAAAAAUUUUUCAAUUCGCGUUGUGAACUUGAGAUAAAAUGUGUGAUCUAAUAUUAUUUGCUACACAUGUGACUUAAAUUAAUGUAUGAUAUUUAAAUAAUUUAAGAUAUAUGUGAUAUACUUAAAUCAGAAGUGAAGUUCAAUAACUUAACAUUGGAUUGUCGUGUAUUUGAUUAGUAUAGUGCGAUGCUAAGUAUCUAAAUGAUAUAAUAAUUGAUUAAGAAAUUAUAACAAAAUUUGUUAUCCCUACAGUGAUUAUUGCUAUAAUUAUGCAUGUUGAUAAGUAAAUUUUUGUAUGUUACAAAAUUUAGCAUAAAGUAUUUAUGUGUAUCUUAAUGUGCUGAAAUUGAAUGUUGUAAUGUGGAAAAAAAAAAAAAAAAAAAAAAGAUAAGUAACACUAUAGUUCAUCUAUGCCAAAAUCAAAAUUUAAGUCAACUACCAUUAUGACUACUUUGAUGAUAUCAGGAUUGAAGUUAAAAAGUUAGGUCCAUCUUCAUUUGAUAAGGCUGUUGAACUCGCUAGUAAUAUAGAGAACGCUUUGAAUGACCAAAAAAACUAUCUUAACAGUAUUACUGCUGAGCAAAAUUUAGAAAUUAACACUCUGCUGAAAGAAAAAUUUGAACAAAAUAAAAUCAUUCAGGAGUUAAAAGAUAAAAUAAAUGAAUUGUCUCAAAAUAUGCAGAAUAGCUCACAAUCAAAAUUUAAUCAGAGUGCUUCUACAUCUAAAAAUACGAACAGAUUUGAUAAUGUAUCUUGUCAUAUAUGUAGCAAAAGACACUUAACAACAGAUUGUUGGUAUUUUCCUAAGCAAGAUAGACAUAAUUAUUCUAGUAGAACUUUCAGAGGUCAAAUUUAACUAAUUAAUAGCAUUGUUUUCAUCGAGCUUGUUUUUUCUUGUUCACUAAGU